rnacentral:misc_RNA from 1 species
ACCGGCCCUUUUAUUUGUAUCCCCCCAUUUCUCUCCCCGCUUCUUUGGGCCUCUUCUCUCGGGUGUUUUACACACACACCAUGCGCUGCACCGUUGCUUCCUCCUCCGUCCCUCGGUUGUGCCUCCUAUGUGUCUCUGUCUUCGCUCGCUCUCUCCGUUUACUUUCUUCACUGAGCUGACCACUAUGCAUGCGAUAGUGCCCCCUCACAGGAUGCGUCCGCCUACCUAUAGCUAGAUGGGUACGUCUCCCCCUUCACUGCCCCCCCCCUCUCUCGGUCGUUGCCUCCCCGGUCUGUUGCAUCAGCGGAUGAAGUCAGCCGCUGUUUUGUGCCCACUGCCCCGCACGCUUCUCCGCCUGCCCGGGCCUGACUACAUACGGUGAGUACUAACGGCGAGAAGGGAGCGAAAGAGGAAGACAGCCGUAACACUGCGCACCUCGUGUCAAAAAAAAAAACAUGUCGUGGUGGGCUGCCAGUGCCCCUUCAACCCGUGAUUCUACCCUCUUGUGCUUCAAAAUUUCCGCGGGGCGAUGACGCGAGAAAGUAAAGAUCGCGCACUCAGGCUGCUGGGCUUGUUUAUAGACUGAGCAAGUGGCUGCCGUCGCGAACACCUGCAUUAUGCCGUCUCCUGAGAGCCCAGGGACAGGGCUGCGAUGCGUACGCUCUCAUGAUCCGAAAACUCACUCCCUCCUUGCCUGCAUGGCCUCUGGCGUCUAUCCUGUCCUCUGAUGCACAGCGUGGCAGCUGCAAUGCACACACACGCCCCUCUCGCUCCCUGCGCUCUCUCCUCCCCUCUCUUUCUGCAG